ACGAACCGGACGAACGUUAUUCGGAAUUACUGGGCUUAAAGAGUGCGUAGGCGGCCAAGUAGGUGGGGUGUGAAAGCCCACGGCUCAACCGUGGAAUUGCGCUUCAAACCACUUGGCUUGAGGGAGACAGGGGUAAGCGGAACUGAUGGUGGAGCGGUGAAAUGCGUUGAUAUCAUCAGGAACACCAGUGGCGAAGGCGGCUUACUGGGUCUCUACUGACGCUGAGGCACGAAAGCUAGGGUAGCGAACAGG
rnacentral:rRNA from 1 species